rnacentral:lncRNA from 1 species
CAACUGCUGACUGAUUUUCUGGGCUUCUUGGCUGAUGGUGGUGACUCUGAAGAAAGAAGCUGGGUUUAUCUCUGGGUCUUGGGAUAAUCAAGUUGGAAGUGGCCUGGCUGAUUUGAAGGUAGAAGGUAGAAGGUUGAAGACAGGAAACUGCCUUAUACUUCUCUUAUGUCCACCAAAUCACCUAACCCUGUGCUGGAUAUGUGCAUAUGAUGAGUUGACCUUGGACAGCCACUUUGCCUUUUGCAUUUUAUUUCUGCUCUACAAAAUAAGGAGAAUUCUACCCAUACCAUAUAACUGUUGUGAGAAUAAAAUGAGAUAUAGCCUGGGUAACCUGUUUGACUUGGUGUGUUUCCUAUUCCAUAUAUUAACAUUUAGUAGACUAGAAUUUUUUACAGGGAGCUGAACUUGAUCUUUUGUCCCCUGAGAUCUACCUUGAACCUCCCUGGCAUUAAUGAUGACAUAUGUAGAAUGAUUUGUAAGUUUAAAAUACUACACAAAUGUAAAUAAUGAUCAUAUGAAAAAGUAUUAUUCUAGACUAUGCAUCAUGCAAAUAAAAUUAGGAAAUUGUUCA